rnacentral:rRNA from 1 species
AGAGUUUGAUCCUGGCUCAGGAUGAACGCUGGCGGCGUGCCUAACACAUGCAAGUCGAGCGAUUUACUUCGGUAAAGAGCGGCGGACGGGUGAGUAACGCGUGGGUAACCUGCCCUGUACACACGGAUAACAUACCGAAAGGUAUGCUAAUACGAGAUAAUAUACUUUUAUCGCAUGGUAGAAGUAUCAAAGCUCCGGCGGUACAGGAUGGACCCGCGUCUGAUUAGCUAGUUGGUAAGGUAACGGCUUACCAAGGCGACGAUCAGUAGCCGACCUGAGAGGGUGAUCGGCCACAUUGGAACUGAGACACGGUCCAAACUCCUACGGGAGGCAGCAGUGGGGAAUAUUGCACAAUGGGCGAAAGCCUGAUGCAGCAACGCCGCGUGAGCGAUGAAGGCCUUCGGGUCGUAAAGCUCUGUCCUCAAGGAAGAUAAUGACGGUACUUGAGGAGGAAGCCCCGGCUAACUACGUGCCAGCAGCCGCGGUAAUACGUAGGGGGCUAGCGUUAUCCGGAAUUACUGGGCGUAAAGGGUGCGUAGGUGGUUUCUUAAGUCAGAGGUGAAAGGCUACGGCUCAACCGUAGUAAGCCUUUGAAACUGGGAAACUUGAGUGCAGGAGAGGAGAGUGGAAUUCCUAGUGUAGCGGUGAAAUGCGUAGAUAUUAGGAGGAACACCAGUUGCGAAGGCGGCUCUCUGGACUGUAACUGACACUGAGGCACGAAAGCGUGGGGAGCAAACAGGAUUAGAUACCCUGGUAGUCCACGCCGUAAACGAUGAGUACUAGCUGUCGGAGGUUACCCCCUUCGGUGGCGCAGCUAACCCCUUAAGUACUCCCCCUGGG